rnacentral:rRNA from 1 species
UACAGAGGUCUCAAGCGUUGUUCGGAUUCAUUGGGCGUAAAGGGUGUGUAGGUGGCGCCGUAAGUCAGGUGUGAAAUCUCGGGGCUUAACUCCGAAACUGCAUUUGAUACUGCGGUGCUUUGAGGACUGGAGAGGAGACUGGAAUUCAUGGUGUAGCAGUGAAAUGCGUAGAGAUCAUGAGGAAGACCAGUGGCGAAGGCGGGUCUCUGGACAGUUCCUGACACUGAGACACGAAGGACCAGGGGGAGCAAAACGGGG